rnacentral:rRNA from 1 species
UACGGGGGGAGCAAGCGUUGUUCGGAUUUACUGGGCGUAAAGGGCGCGUAGGCGGCGCAACAAGUCACUUGUGAAAUCUCCGGGCUUAACUCGGAAAGGUCAAGUGAUACUGUUGUGCUAGAGUGCGGAAGGGGCAACUGGAAUUCUCGGUGUAGCGGUGAAAUGCGUAGAUAUCGUCAAGAACACCAAUAGUGAAGACAGUUUACUAGACUUCAACUGACGCUGAGGCACGAAAGUGUGGGGAUCAAACAGG